CUGGCUGUGCCACCUUUCCUAAGGGCAUGUGCAUUGUCACAGGUGGCUCCAGAUCAAGGAAUUUGGCUCUUGUGUAGCUCUAGGUGAAGCACCACAGCAGUGACACAGUACAUACUAUUCCCAUGACUAUGACACAUUUGAUUUUCUGUAAAUGCCUUUAUAUAUCUGUUUGGCCUCUCACUAGCCAUUCAUCUUUCCUCAAACUGUAGUGUAUAGAUGGGCCAUUACUCUUUCUGGGAGUGUUUGCUCUUGUGUCUGAGGGCUCCUUAGCAUCUGGUCUGACAUGUCACUAGUUGAUCACAAAUUGCUGACAUCAUGAUGCAUUUUGCUGAUGAUUCAGGGUAAUUUCCUCAUUAACAAUGAGACUUAUCUUUGUUCUGACUGGAUACCCACAAUCUUCACAAACCCACAUACUGUUAUAAGUCAUGUGAAUAAUCCAAAAUGUGCUUUUUCACAUCAGGGGACGAUCUUUCCUCCCAACCAUCCUGACCUAAUUCCCUAGCAACCUUUAUUUCCCAUGUUAUUGAUUAGAGAUGUCAAGAAAGGAUGAACCAUUUCCUUGGAUGUGUUGGGAAUAGAAUGUUCAACUUCCCAUACAUGAAGUAGUGAAAAUGUUCUAAAGAAGCAAAGAGAGAUCCCUGGCUUUGUAAGGAGAGGGUGCUGAAGGUCUGUCUAUAUUUCUGGGAAGGAUCCCAAGAAGGGCAACAUGGCAAAAGAGCUAGUUAGUAGGUAGGUGAGGGAUGCUGAAGGUGAUACUAAUAAUCCCUUCUCUGGAAAUUCUAUUAUAUCCUAGACAACCUUGGUAGUAUCUAUGAUAUCACUAGUGUCGUGGCAACACCACAUGCCUGUGGGGUAUUCGUUCAGUGCCCAUAGACAUGUUGGUAAGACUGAGCUGGCUGCUUGGGAGACAAAAUGGAGAACAUAGAGAGACCAGAGAGAGGCAUAAGGAAGCUAGCCUUUGGCCUCAGUGUAAAACAUGGAGAAAUAAAUGGUUCUGGUGAAGGCACAGUGAGUCCUGAGCUGGGGAUUGGGAGCUUCCUGGAGGAGGUGAACUUGAGUUGGGCUUUCCAGUAUGGGCCUCAGCAUCUGGGAGCUUCUGGGAAGCAAUGGGCCUAUCCUGCUUCUGUAGGUUUCUAAAGAGCAGACCCAUUGUUAAGAAUUUCUGAUGGUUAGUUUAGGAGAGCCAUGUAUUAUUCAAUCUCUAGCUGCUUUUCUGGGAACUCCUUCAUUUUAUUCUGAUUGGCAAAGAGGGGCAGGAGGAACACAAGGACUACUGAGCUGUCCCUCUCUGGGUAGGGUGUUGCUGCACUUCAUCCAGUGGAUUCCUUCAGUUUCCAUGGAAAUCUGAUGCCAAUAGGAAGGGAGGGAAACUCGCCUGGCCAUGCACCAAAGUCUCAGACAUUCAGAUGUUUUGGUCUUAGGCACAUGCGAUCAGGACUUGGUGCGGCUAAGCUCUAGGGACAACAGGACUUAGCUGCAUCAUAUUAGAUAUGAGCUGACACUGUCCUCCAAAUCUACAUGACUGGGAUACAUUAUGCCUUCCAGGGCAUUAGGGAGUGAGGCACAAGGCUAGCCAUGAUGGUUGAGGACAGAGACAGAGCUCGGGGGCCCCAGUCUGAGGAUAGCUGCCCUCCUGUUUGGAAGCUUUACUGGGUCCCUAGCAUUUCCUCAGGCUUCUUCUUGGGACUCUGCAUGGACUCUCCUGGUCCUAUGUCAUUCAGUAUACAAGUUCACUUUUCUUUAUCUACCAGCAGGGACUACUGAGGAGGCACCAUCCCAACUCUCCACCUUCACUGAGCAGGAGCAGCAGAUGAAAAAAAAAAAAAAUAAAGAAACUCACCAUUCAGUUACAUAUUAUGACAUGCGAGAGAAAUGAGCUUCGUAGAAUCCUGGCCAAUUAUACCAACAAGGAUUUGAACAACAGGUAGUCACUAUGCCCAGUUCGCUGCUGGCCGUCUUGACAUCAUAGUAUCAAGCCCAGGUUUCCAGAGGAACAGGAGACUGAACAUCCAGGGUGUCCUGGUGCCUAAACUAAUUUUCCUGAGUGGAGUCAAGAUCUAGAACUUGAAGCCUGGUUAGGACUGAGCUGGGGACACAGGCUGUUCUGCUUCCUCCAAAUGAACACCAGAGUCUGUGGCCUGAAUCACGGUCUGGGGAUAGGGGCAGUAGUGUGUGAGCUCUCAACAUGCAUUUCAAGAUGCCUUGACAGGUGUUGGCUUGUAGGAGAUGCUAGGUGCUGUGAGUGUGUGGUGAGUCUUUGUGCUUGACCAGCAGAUGAUUGUGUGCUGAAAGCUCCUGGCAGUAGCUGGAGGGACCUGGUCCAUUCAUCCAUCUCAGUGUGUGGCUGGAAGGCCUGGAGUUCAUCACUGCUCCUCUCUGGUCUUGUUCCUUAUACUCUGAGACAAUGUCAUUCCUUGCAUUUCUUGGGUAUCUUGAUUGCAUGGUGUAUGUGUGUGUGUGUGGGGGGGGGUUGUCUGUGUGCUCCUGAGAGUCUGUGCUCUGAAGCAUGGCCUGAGGAUUUUACACAGUUUCCAGGAGAUGGCACUGCUGAGGCCAGGGAAGCCCACUUUGAGCAGCAUGCCGCUUGGGCACUGUGCUCAUCUUGGUGGAAUAUUGGAAUUCCCUGUGGAGUUUAUAAAGCCAUCCUGAAGUUGGGACUCCUCCCUGGAAAUACUCAUUGUUUGUUCCGGUCCUCUGUUUAGCAAUAGGCACACAAGAAUGAGAAUCCCUGUUGUGAAGACAGGACAAGUGUCAUCAUAGGUUUCUGGUGGGUCUAGACACCUGGCACAGACUCCUGGGAAAAUCUUAGAGAGCUAAUCUAUAGCUCUAGGCCCACAGAGGGAGCUCAUGCAGCCCUGGCUCCUUCCCUUUGGACCUGCUGCAUCUUCUGGCCUGGGGACAGGAUGGGAAAUUUAAUAAGCACCAGAAGCUCCCAGUGUACAACUGCCAGGCUGUGGCAUCCACUGGGCUAGGGUAGUCCAUGACACAGCCUCAUUAAUGUGAUCCUUGUGGCCUGUGUUCAUGAGGUUCUUUUCUCCUGGGGCCAUGCCCUACCACAGGCUGAAUUUUGAGCUUUAGAUGCUCAAAAUGGAGCAUAAUCAGAUGAUAUCUGAGCUGCAGAAAUUGCCCAUGGAGAUCAGCGAUGUCUUGGACAAUUGCAAGGGGCUGAUUGAGGAGACUGAAUCCAUCAGUUACCUCCAUGACCAGGUCCUCCGAGAUUGGACUCAGCUGAAGAAGAAUGUAUAUGUGUUGAGACUCAAGAACAGACUGCUAUGGAAGGAACAGAUUGAACUGCAAGAUUCCUGUGAGGAUCUGAAGAGUCUCUUGAAGGAGGCCCAUGAGAUGAUCUGUGAGCCUUCUGCUGAUCAGCAACUGGUAGCCCGAGGCAUUGGGGACAGGCUGAAUACCUGUCCAACCAUAAAAAUAGAGACACCCAUAUAACCAUCCAUCCAGACUCCCACUUACAUACCAUCCAAGUGUUGUUUUCUGUGAUCAUUCCCAAGUCUUUCUGGAGAGUUAGCAUCUUGCAAAAAACUGAAUAAUUGACAAGCAAACCCUCCUGCUCUGCUAGAAGCUGCAGUACAUUGAUAGAGAUGGGUCAGUCACAUACCACACACCUACAUGUCAUUAUGAUCAGAGGGCUGCUAUGUAGGGAGUUACUUAGGGAACAGCACAAAGCUUUUAUUGAUAAUGUCAGUGGCCUGUGGCUCAUUUGCUUUGCAGGGGUCAUGUGAGAUCACAGGGAGGAAGCAGCCUUCAAGGACUAGAGCCCAGUGCCAGUGCCAAGAGCUGGAAAGCCUGGAUGAAGGACUGAAGGACCUGCUGAAGCAGAAGGAGCUGGUCACCCAGCAAGGGGACUUGGCAGAAAAGCUGCAACAUCACUUCAGUGUCUCUGAGAUGAGGUGGGAGCCCAAGCUGGGAGAGCAGUUAGAACCAUGUGGGUCACCUCUCCCUGGAUCCCUGUCCUUUUUGGUGUCUCUCCAUCUGGACGGCUCUCAGUCACAGCCAGAGAAAGAACACCUCAGGGUAUUGUGCUGGUCCAGUCAACCAGAACUUCUCCAGGAAACACUACGUUCGAUCCUUAGUGUUUCUGGGGAGUGUGUACCCCUUAUUCCCUCCUGAGCUCUCUGGCAUCUUCUCAGUACCUUGUCCCCUGUGUUUCCCCACAAAUCUCCCUAUGGUAGCCCUCAACUUAGCAGGAGGAGGGUUAGUUGUGGAGGACACUGUGUGCUCCUACCAUUUCAUUUUCCUUCCAGAACAUCACCUUUAGAGAGAAGCUCCUACCUUUGGGUAGAUGUGCAUGCAGCACACUCCUGCCGAUUACAGGCUCUCUCCAGUGUGCAUCUGUUUCCUGUGAAAAGAUUUUUCUGGGUAUAAGAAGAUUUAGUGGUUGAGGAGUUGAAACCAGGCAGGUUUCUGUUCCUUAACAAUAACCAGAUCCUUCACUGCAGUGUUGUGUAGGCUCCCCUGGAGGGACUACAUUCAGUUUCCCAGGUUGCUCACAUUCCCUGGUAUCUAAUCAAGGCCACGCAUAUCUGUCCUGAACUGUAACUCAGACCUUGCUACACUGUUGUUUUCCCCAAAAUAAUGUAUCUAGACAACUGGAGAAAUGUGCCGAUUUUCUUGCCCAGCACAGUGUAGUUCUCAAUUCAUCUUCUAGUAGAUUUUAAAAGCUGAGAAUAAAAUCCAGGCUCAGUUGCACUCUGACCCUUCCCCCUUGGGGAAUGCAGGGAAUGACCUGAGUUGAAAGGUCACACUGGACUGUCCAGCUGACUAAAGCUGGUUCAGGCUCAAUAGCUGACAUGGCAGGUCCCCACCAGGC